rnacentral:rRNA from 1 species
GAUGAACGCUGGCGGCGUGCCUAAUACAUGCAAGUCGAGCGAACAGACGAGGAGCUUGCUCCUCUGACGUUAGCGGCGGACGGGUGAGUAACACGUGGAUAACCUACCUAUAAGACUGGGAUAACUUCGGGAAACCGGAGCUAAUACCGGAUAAUAUAUUGAACCGCAUGGUUCAAUAGUGAAAGACGGUUUUGCUGUCACUUAUAGAUGGAUCCGCGCCGCAUUAGCUAGUUGGUAAGGUAACGGCUUACCAAGGCAACGAUGCGUAGCCGACCUGAGAGGGUGAUCGGCCACACUGGAACUGAGACACGGUCCAGACUCCUACGGGAGGCAGCAGUAGGGAAUCUUCCGCAAUGGGUGAAAGCCUGACGGAGCAACGCCGCGUGAGUGAUGAAGGUCUUCGGAUCGUAAAACUCUGUUAUUAGGGAAGAACAAAUGUGUAAGUAACUAUGCACGUCUUGACGGUACCUAAUCAGAAAGCCACAGCUAACUACGUG